rnacentral:rRNA from 1 species
UCUUGCCCAAUGGGCGAAAGCCUGACGCAGCCAUGCCGCGUGAAUGAUGAAGGUCUUAGGAUUGUAAAAUUCUUUCACCGGGGACGAUAAUGACGGUACCCGGAGAAGAAGCCCCGGCUAACUUCGUGCCAGCAGCCGCGGUAAUACGAAGGGGGCAAGCGUUGCUCGGAAUUACUGGGCGUAAAGGGAGCGUAGGCGGACAUUUAAGUCAGGGGUGAAAUCCCGGGGCUCAACCUCGGAAUUGCCUUUGAUACUGGGUGUCUUGAGUAUGAGAGAGGUGUGUGGAACUCCGAGUGUAGAGGUGAAAUUCGUAGAUAUUCGGAAGAACACCAGUGGCGAAGGCGACACACUGAUCCUUACUGACGCUCAGGCCGAAAG